AAAACAUUCCUACGGGAGGCAGCAGUGGGGAAUAUUGGACAAUGGGCGAAAGCCUGAUCCAGCCAUGCCGCGUGUGUGAAGAAGGUCUUCGGAUUGUAAAGCACUUUAAGUUGGGAGGAAGGGCAUUAACCUAAUACGUUAGUGUUUUGACGUUACCGACAGAAUAAGCACCGGCUAACUCUGUGCCAGCAGCCGCGGUAAUACAGAGGGUGCAAGCGUUAAUCGGAAUUACUGGGCGUAAAGCGCGCGUAGGUGGUUUGUUAAGUUGGAUGUGAAAUCCCCGGGCUCAACCUGGGAACUGCAUUCAAAACUGACUGACUAGAGUAUGGUAGAGGGUGGU
rnacentral:rRNA from 1 species